rnacentral:rRNA from 1 species
ACGGGGGGUGCAAGCGUUGUUCGGAAUCAUUGGGCGUAAAGCGCGCGCAGGCGGCUUGGUAAGUCAGAUGUGAAAUCCCUGGGCUUAACCCAGGAAGUGCAUUUGAUACUGCCUCGCUAGAGUACGGGAGAGGAAAGUGGAAUUCCUGGUGUAGAGGUGAAAUUCGUAGAUAGCAGGAGGAAGACGGGUGGGGAUGGGGAGUUUCUAGCCAGAUACUCCCGAUCGGGCGCGUAAUCGUCUGGAGCAAAAAG